rnacentral:tRNA from 1 species
GUAUUUUUAGUAUAAUAAGUAUAAUAAUUUUAGGUAUUGUUGGUUUAAGGAUAUA